GACGAACGCUGGCGGCGUGCCUAAUACAUGCGAGUUGAGCGAUGAAGAUUGGUGCUUGCACCAAUUUGAAGAGCAGCGAACGGGUGGGUAACGCGUGGGGAAUCUGCCUUUGAGCGGGGGACAACAUUUGGAAACGAAUGCUAAUACCGCAUAACAACUUUAAACAUAAGUUUUAAGUUUGAAAGAUGCAAUUGCAUCACUCAAAGAUGAUCCCGCGUUGUAUUAGCUAGUUGGUGAGGUAAAGGCUCACCAAGGCGAUGAUACAUAGCCGACCUGAGAGGGUGAUCGGCCACAUUGGGACUGAGACACGGCCCAAACUCCUACGGGAGGCAGCAGUAGGGAAUCUUCGGCAAUGGACGAAAGUCUGACCGAGCAACGCCGCGUGAGUGAAGAAGGGUGUCGGAUCGUAAAACUCUGUUGGUAGAGAAGAACGUUGGUGAGAGUGGAAAGCUCAUCAAGUGACGGUAACUACCCAGAAAGGGACGGCUAACUACGUG
rnacentral:rRNA from 1 species